AGCCAGAGAGAUUUUCAAAACUUGAUCAUCUAAAUGCAGAGAACAGUUUCAAGGCUCUUUCUCACUUUCUCAUUUGAUUCCUGCAAUUGAAGCCAUCUGCUAUGCUGUGUCCUGUUCUUUGGAUCAGCACAUAUGACAAGGAAGUGAAAGUAGUCUCUGUCCAACAAUCAGUCUAACAGCCUGAGAAGAACUGAAUUCUGUCAAUGACCACGUAAGCUUCGAAGCAGACCUUUCGCUUGUUGAGCCUUCAGAUAGACAGCAGCCCUAGCUGACAUCUU
rnacentral:lncRNA from 10 species